rnacentral:rRNA from 1 species
UGGGGAAUCUUCCGCAAUGGGCGAAAGCCUGACGGAGCAACGCCGCGUGAGUGAAGACGGCCUUCGGGUUGUAAAACUCUGUGAUUCGGGACGAAAGAUAAGCAGACGAAUAAUCUGCAUAAGUGACGGUACCGAAAAAGCAAGACACGGCUAACUACGUGCCAGCAGCCGCGGUAAUACGUAGGUGGCAAGCGUUGUCCGGAAUUAUUGGGCGUAAAGCGCGCGCAGGCGGCUACUUAAGUCCAUCUUAAAAGUUCGGGGCUUAACCCCGUGAUGGGAUGGAAACUGAGAAGCUGGAGUGUCGGAGAGGAAAGUGGAAUUCCUAGUGUAGCGGUGAAAUGCGUAGAGAUUAGGAAGAACACCGGUGGCGAAGGCGACUUUCUGGACGACAACUGACGCUUAGGCGCGAAAGCGUGGGGAGCAAACAGG